AAAAAGGACCGCGAUUACUGCCCCCGCGAGCUGAAGUGGGGUAAACUCGGAUGCAAAUGCAAGAACUCCUCGAACAGCAGACAUCUUUUGGAGAUUUUGAAGCAAAUGACCGCCUUCUUCCGAAAGACGGGACAAGUUGCGGUGACAUUCAUUGGUACUGUAAUGAAUGGGAUACCAAGGGACUCUGCACCAACGCUUAUUUUGUGAACUCCCUUAAGAUCUACUAUCGUAAGACGUGCCGUCAGUGUAAAUGAGAUCCCUGACAUUGCGUUUAGAUGGAGGGAAAUGGUUAAUAAAAUGACAUCAAUUUAAAAAAUAAAAACAAUCACUCAGUA